rnacentral:rRNA from 1 species
AUUGAACGCUGGCGGCAGGCCUAACACAUGCAAGUCGAACGGUAACAGAAAGCAGCUUGCUGCUUUGCUGACGAGUGGCGGACGGGUGAGUAAUGUCUGGGAAACUGCCUGAUGGAGGGGGAUAACUACUGGAAACGGUAGCUAAUACCGCAUAACGUCGCAAGACCAAAGAGGGGGACCUUCGGGCCUCUUGCCAUCAGAGGUGCCCAGUUGGGCUUAGCUGGUAGGUGGGGGAACGGCUCACCUAGGCGACGAUCCCUACCGGGUCUGAGAGGAUGACCGGCCACACUGGAACUGGGACACGGUCCAGACUCCUACGGGAGGCAGCAGUGGGGAAUAUUGCACAAUGGGCGCAAGCCUGAUGCAGCCAUGCCGCGUGUAUGAAGAAGGCCUUCGGGUUGUAAAGUACUUUCAGCGGGGAGGAAGGGAGUAAAGUUAAUACCUUGGCUCAUUGACGUUACCCGCAGAAGAAGCACCGGCUAACUCCGUG